rnacentral:misc_RNA from 1 species
CUGGGUUUUUCUUGGGCUACCCGCCCAUCACCCGCCCUCUGUCACUUUAUACGAAUUGCUUCGGCCGACGGUUCUGCGAGCACCUGGCGCAUGCCGGUGUGAGUUGGGCCGCGGUCGGUCUACCAAAUCUAUUGCAUGUAUGUUGUCUGAAUGCAAAAAAAACGAAACCA